rnacentral:ncRNA from 2 species
AUCUUUGUCCGAAAUUUUGGUGACAGGUCGUGAUUUCUUCAUGGUCUGUAAAAGGGAAUCCGGUGAGAAUCCGGAGCUGUACCCGCAGCUGUGAGCUCUUUAAAAGGUUUGAAUAUUACUUCUUGCCACUGUCACUACCUUCUUUGAAUCCAAAGAAGGAGAACUUUGAAACCCAAAGGUUCAAAGUAGGACGGGAAGGCCAUUCAAACCGGAGCGAGCCAGAAAACCUGCCAAAACACAAUUGAAUCA